CGAGGGUGUGGGGGAUUGGACUCUCUGGGCUCCCAUUUGGCGGAGAAUGCAAGGCCGCUUGCUUGCUGCAGCUGAUUCCGAGGGAAACGGGUCUUGGGUGGCGGUUCUGUGGGAGAUCCGGUGCGCGGGGAUGCAGCAAGAGCAGCGAAAGAAGGUGCGUGCAGGGUUCUUGCGAUUCCUACCUCUUUGAUGUUUGUUCGUGAAUUUCCGGGUUAUCUUUUGCACCAGCGUUGAUGCUUGAUGUCAAUUCCAGUUCUAGGCUGCUAAUAAGCGUGAGUCAUCGAUUGCUAAUGUUGGGAACAACUAUUUUUUUUUGAAUUUUCUGAUUUGUUUUAUAAGUUUUGACGGGACUUGUUCAUGUUCAUACCAUUUGCGGAGUCUGAAUUUAAUCUGGGUAUUGUUGUGAUCUGAGUUCUUUCUCUAUCAACUACUAUGGGCCCUCAAAUACAUUCAUACUGAUACGAAACCAUUCCUUUUAUAUAUUUGCUUGCCAACGAUUCCCUGAAUGCCCCAUCUGGGAUUCCACAUCAUUUCCACUUAUGUUUAGGAUGAUCACAUUCCCUUUCAUCUCCUUUUAGACAUGGUUCAUAAGGCGCUAAGGCGACUUGUGGCGAUCUACCACCCUCACAACGCCUAGGCGUAUUAGGCGCGUGGCGAGGCAACGCCAUAGAUAUACUAUGAACAUGCAUGACAACAAAACUUAGUAGCAUAUACAUACCUUUUUUGGACUGCUGUACCACCCAUUAAAGUAAUGCACAAGACCACAAGCCACUAUCUAAAAGAGCAGCACAGAGCACAAGCAAAUGCACAGCAUGGGGACACAGUCAGGCAGUAGCAUAUUAGCAGCGCAGCACAGAGCACAAAGCAACAUCAAAUGGCUCAAUUAGUAAACAAAUGAGGGCAUGAGGAUUAAAUAUUCAAUCAUAGAGCCAAUGAGCCACUAAUAUAUACAGAGCACAAGCAUUCAAGCAAAGAGUAGAGCACAAUCAGUCAAGCACAGCAGUACAACACAUAUACAGACUACAGAGCACAAGCAGGACUGCAGGAGAAGCAGAGAGGAAAGAGUUACCUGGCGGGCCGUAGCAGAUGCAGAGGCACGAGGAGGGAGGAGCCUGCGGGCCGACGCAGAUGCAGAGGCACGAGGAGGGAGGAGCCUGCGGGCUAGUGACGAAGAGGGAGGAGCCUGAGGGCCGGCGGCCGGCGCAACCUAAGGGCCGGCGGGCGGGGUCGCGCUUGCGCUGAGGACGGCGCAGAGGAUUCGCGCUCGCAAUGCGUAAGGCGCAGAGGAGUCCCGCUCGCGCCGCGGACGGCGGACGCGCGGAGGAGUCGCCGCCACCACGAGCUCCAGGUGCGCUCGUUCCCCUUUCUUCUCUCGUUCUCUCUCUCCCCAAAUGGCCAAAUCGAUGAACGGGCGGUCAAUUUCUCUACUUGGCCAUCGAUUUCCCACCCCCCAAUCGAUUUUCCGCCCGCCUCCUCUGUUUCCUUCCCGCCCCGAUCUAUUUCCCGCGCGCGCUCGUCUAUGGCGGCCGCCACAUCGUAACAGGACGCCUACCGGACGCCUACCGAUGCCUAGGCGACGCCUUGGGCCUAAGGCGGACGCCAUACAUGCCUAGGCAAGGCGUAGGGGACGCCUUGUGCCCUGCGGGCGCCCGGACGCCUAGGCGACGCCUUACGAACCAUGCUUUUAGAUAGCAACUCACAGCGACCAUAAUUGCAGCUAAUGUUUAUAAUGGUGACCUGAUUACCUGAAGCUCAAGAAUAUUUUGGCGAACUCUAACUGCAAACUGAAAAUAUGUGGCUUCGGACUAGCACGAGUUGCAUUCAACAAUACCCCAACAACAGUAUCCUGGAUGGAUUAUGCUGCAACAAGAUGGUACAGAGAUCCUGAGCUUUGUGUUUUUUUUUUCUCGAAUGCGCAGGAGAGCUGCGCAUCAAUAUAUUAAGAAGAGAAUUGUGGAUCCUUCUUCUCCAUGGUCCGGAAUGAGAAAGCAAAAAGGUACUUAGCAGCAUGAGAAAGAAAGACCCAAUUCCAUUUUCUCAGAAGAUUCCCAAUGUGGAUCCUCUGGCACUCAAACUAAUGGAAAAGCUAUUAGUGUUUGACCCAAAGGACCGUCCAACUGCAGAAGAGAUAUUGCGUGAUCCAUACUUCAAAGGUCUUGCCAUGAUUGAAAGAGAGCCAUUUUGUGAGGCAAUAAAAAAAGUGGAAUUUGACUUCGAGCACAAAAGAAUGUCAAAGGAAGAGAUAAGGGAGUUGAUAUUCCUCGAGAUACUGGAAUAUCACCAGCAAUUGCUGAAUAGCUACAUAAACGGCACUGAGAGGACAACCUUUCUCUACUCAAGGUUUUAGCUUUUCUGUAUUUGCACAUUGCUGUUCAUCAAUUUAAGUAGCUUUCUCAUCUUGAAGAAAGCUGUGAUGCUGAAUCCCACAAGACAGCAGCAGGCUAGAAUUGCAUCUGGAAAAAAAGGUGAUGGUUUAUCCCAAAAAAGAGAUCCCUUGGAAGAGGUAAGACCGUAGUUGCUGAAAAUCACUGGCUUGAGUACUUCAGAUUCUUCCAUGCAAUAUUAUUCAACAUGAUAUAAGGACAGGCGUGGAGCUCCAAUGGGUUGAUCAGAUUGCGCCACCUGAUUCCUGCAACUAACCAGAGGUGAUAGGUUGAUCCAAUUUGCUGAUGUUGUUUUGAUAUACACAUGUUCCUUUUAUCUAUACAUUACAAUGAUGAACUUGAGUAUAAGCUAUAUCUUUUUAUGGACAACUUUUUUCUUUCCUUUGUAUGGAGAUCUUUUUCCCUAUUGAACAUGAUGCUGUGAAGGCCAUGAUUUAUGCGGUAUUACUCAUUCAUAUUGAUGUAUAGCCUUUGUAUGGUAACUUAACUUGCUCCGUUUAAUUUAAACUGUAUACUUGAAUA